rnacentral:rRNA from 1 species
GACGUAGGGCGCGAGCGUUGUUCGGAUUUAUUGGGCGUAAAGAGCUCGUAGGCGGCUUGUCGCGUCGACUGUGAAAACCCGUGGCUCAACUGCGGGCCUGCAGUCGAUACGGGCAGGCUAGAGUUCGGCAGGGGAGACUGGAAUUCCUGGUGUAGCGGUGAAAUGCGCAGAUAUCAGGAGGAACACCGGUGGCGAAGGCGGGUCUCUGGGCCGAUACUGACGCUGAGGAGCGAAAGCGUGGGGAGCGAACAGG